rnacentral:rRNA from 1 species
UACGGGGGGGGCAAGCGUUGUUCGGAAUUACUGGGCGUAAAGGGCUCGUAGGCGGCCAACUAAGUCGGACGUGAAAUCCCCAGGCUCAACCUGGGAACUGCGUCCGAUACUGGAUGGCUUGAAUCCGGGAGAGGGAUGCAGAAUUCCAGGUGUAGCGGUGAAAUGCGUAGAUAUCUGGAGGAACACCAGUGGCGAAAGCGGCUACCUGGCCCAUUCUUGACGCUGAGGCGCGAAAGCUAGGGGAGCGAACAGG